UAUACUGUAUUUAUAGGUGUGUAAUUCCCGUCAACUAGACAAUACUGUGGAUAUAUUUUUACAACAAGAGCGACAAUAGUUGUAAAUAAUAAAAAAUUGAGGCUGACAAAAGUAUCACGGUUCCACGUAACAAAGAUAUACAUCAUACCCCAAACAUUUUGGAUAAAUAUUUGGUGAAAUCUCAUCGUGUUAUUAUGUUGGAUUGCGAUUAGGUUGGAUUUUAUUUCCCCAAAAGGAAGAAGAAGAAGAAAAAAGACUGAAGGGUCUACGAAAUGAACGCAAACAUCUCAGAUAGUUUUUAAUGAUCCGGUAUUUAUUGACUUUUAUAUUCAUUUAUUUAUUUACAUUUUCUGUCUGCUUAUAAUUGGCCACUGUAAGACCUCACGUUAAACAGCUGUAAAUAUUAAGUUUGCUUUUGAGAAAGCACAUCCGUCGGUUUGUUUUGUUCGUAAAUUUGAGGGUGGGAAAAAACAUAAUAAUUAUAAUCAUGGUGCUGGAUUAUUUUCAAAUUAUGGAUGAUGUUUUCACAUUAAAUUAUUCUCGCUCUUGCCCAUCUCACAGCAAGUCGCAAUAUUUGUUUCCUGCACCAGUUCUCCGCAGAGUAUUACAGUUCACCGCUAGAUGUCGCCACGUGUUACAAAAUGCUUCAGGAAAUAUCACAUUUCAAGUCUCACGUUGAGUGAAUUUCCAGGGAAUUCAUAGCUGAGGCAAUACUUCGAAACCGCUCGAAAUGUCACACAGAAUAUACUUUUUAAGAAAAUUUGUAUCUUACACGUUUAAAGAUAUCAGGAUUUAAUCAGUUAGGUUUCAUGUCGUAAUACACACAAAAUAAAAAGAUAAGAUAGCCUCGUAAAUUGUAUAGCCUAUUUGUAAAACAAAAAAAAUCACUGUCAUUCCUAAAUUUAACAAAUCUUUAUGAAUAUUUUUGUGUAUGCACUGCACGUUCACCAGAGCUAAACAAUUUGAAUUAAAACAUCUAUCUAUCUAUCUUUCUAUCUAUCUAUCUAUAUAUCUAUCUAUCUAUCUAUCUAUCUAUCUAUCUAUCUAUCUAUCUAUCUAUCUGUCUUUCUGUCUAUCUGUCUAUCUGUCUAUCUAUCUUUCUGUCUAUCUGUCUAUCUGUCUGUCUAUCUAUCUAUCUAUCUAUCUAUCUAUCUAUCUAUCUAUCUAUCUAUCUAUCACACUUUUAACAACACUGAAGAACAGGCUUCUCCAUAUAUUUUAUCAUUGUAUUUAUCGCAGUGAUAUUUCUGAUUAUAAGAAAUACAUUACAUGUAUCAUUUUCAUCUUGGAACGAGCGUUGUCAUGAUUGUAGGUUUAGAGCAAAACAAUGGGUAUAAAUACUGGUCACAAUAAAUAAAAUGCUGUAGGACGUUUUAUCCAACGAAAGCUAGUCGUUUUAAGACUGAGUGAAUACAAACAUCGUACAAAAGCUCACGAGACGUCUGUCAUCCGUUGGGCUUAUUGACAGUCUUAAAGUAAUUAUCAUUCUUUCAAGUAGGCUGAGGGUUUAUCAUGAAUGCUUGAAAAUCUGUUCAAAAAUACCAAAAUAGCCGAUAUAGUGAUUUAGGCCUAACUUAAGUUUAACCUUCUAAGUCUUCAAGACGCAUAAACGGCAAAAUAGUUUAAAUGCGUUGAAUCUAUUUAAUGUCAACAAUCGCGAAAAUAACAAUUUAUGUUUCAAUGUUUAAAUUUCGUUUAUAUAAAACUUUCGAUUAUACUAUUAUUCAAGUCAACAGGGUGAGACUUUGCCUCCGUUCACAGUUUAGUACAAAGCUGUGGGAAUGUUUGAAUGUCUAAAAAAGGUUUUAAAUAUGCAGACGUAUGAUAAUCGCGGUCCUGCUGAGUCUCUAACAGGCGCAGCCCAUCACACACACGCGUGCCGCAUAACUUCAGAGUUCGGACCGCAAGAAGUCGCCAAGAUGAGGACAUACAGAGUCCAUGUAAGUCCAAUUUCUCUCUUUAGAAAAAGAGAUAUUGCCAGCCAUUUGAAGUUGAAGGCGGACAACAUGCGAGCAUAGGACAGCACGUGUUUGACCCAUUGGGAGUAAAUCUUUACGCGUGCCCAUCUGACCACUUCUACUGGGUGCCUGAUCAGCUGAGCAAAAGGUUCACAAGAUGAAGAUCAGACGCUUUACGAGUAGGAGGGAGCGAUGCUGAUGUUUGCGCAAAAGAAAGUUGUGGAACAGAGUCGUUUUAUCCCAUGUGAGCGCAAUUAGCCUAUAUUAAUAGGAAAACGGAUAAAUAUUUUUUUCUUUUCUAAUGAGCCUAAUGGUGACUUUAGAGGGAUAAAGUAAGGAAAAUGUGACCAUAUCUCAUCCAAUGAAAGUGAGCAAGAGAGAAAUGACAUCAAUGUUAUCUACUGAUUAAACGACUCAUAAUCCAGCCAAUAAGGUGAUGCUCUAGUAGAGGUGCAUUACUCUCUGCAGUGGGGAAGAAAGGUUACGAGAGCUCUCCAACACAAGCCACCCUCAAUAGUGUCAAACUCCUGAAGACAAGAAUUCAAGAAUUGAACAAGUGGACUAUUUUCUUCAGAUUUGCCUACCUGGAAAGAUGACCAUUGUGACCUCAUGUUGCACUAAGAUUUUCCAAGCCUGACAUCACAUUGAAAGCAACAUACAAAGUGACUUGAAUAACCCUUGAACUUUGUAUUGCAUGGAGUGUAUUAUAGUAUUUUAUGACAAAAUUUCUGUUGGAUACAACUUUUCUUGACGUGCUUGUACUCAAGAUUUUAUUCAUUCAAUAAAUUGUG